rnacentral:rRNA from 1 species
GACGUAGGGCGCGAGCGUUGUCCGGAUUUAUUGGGCGUAAAGAGCUCGUAGGCGGCUUGUCGCGUCAACUGUGAAAACCCGUGGCUCAACCAUGUGGUCUGCAGUCGAUACGGGCAGGCUAGAAUUCGGUAGGGGAGACUGGAAUUCCUGGUGUAGCGGUGAAAUGCGCAGAUAUCAGGAGGAACACCGGUGGCGAAGGCGGGUCUCUGGGCCGAAAUUGACGCUGAGGAGCGAAAGCGUGGGGAGCGAACAGG